GACGGGGGGGGCAAGCGUUGUUCGGAAUUACUGGGCGUAAAGGGCUCGUAGGCGGCCAACUAAGUCAGACGUGAAAUCCCCAGGCUCAACCUGGGAACUGCGUCUGAUACUGGUUGGCUUGAAUCCGGGAGAGGGAUGCAGAAUUCCAGGUGUAGCGGUGAAAUGCGUAGAUAUCUGGAGGAAUACCGGUGGCGAAGGCGGCAUCCUGGACCGGCAUUGACGCUGAGGAGCGAAAGCCAGGGGAGCAAACGGG
rnacentral:rRNA from 1 species